CAUCACUUUCUUUGGAAAUUUUAAAAAAAUGUACUUUCUUUAUACUAUGGAUUUGCUUAUGCAUAAUCAUUUAAAUCAGGCUCUCAUCGCCUAUGCAUAACACUAACAAAACAAAGUAAAACACGAAUUUGCGAUGAGCUCAUUCAGGAAGUUUAUUUCAAUUCGUUUACGUCGUUAAGGUACCAUUUCCUAGCGGCCGAUUUUUGUCGCCGAUUCAAGAGGGCUAUUCAGAAUUUUGGGUAUAUCUUCUGAGGCACUGAACGGAUUUUAAAUUUUUUUAUAUUUUCUGAAAGGUGUAAUCAUCAAGUAUAUUAUUUUAAAAUUCAUCAAGUGGUUCGACAAAUAUAGCAAAAAUGCUGAAAAUCGGUCAAGAUGGGACGCACUCAUGAACGCGACUGAAUGAACUCAUCAACAAUGUUCUGUAAUGAAAAAACAAUUUUUUUACUUAUAAAAUUGAUGUGUGCUACGCUCACAGAUUAAUUCUAUAUCAUAAAAUUUGGGAUUCGGUUAUUCCAGUUCUUGUGGGUGCCCGAUGCCUCAUAUUUGAAAUUGAACUAAGUCUGCAUUUAUAUUUUCCAAAACCGUAAAAUUAUUUAGUAUGAAUGCCAUAUGUUUAUUUUUGGUAGUAUAUAAUCUAAACUUAUAAAUCCUUACCAACCUUAUUUCCUAUUUCACCAUAUAUCUACAUUAAUAAUUUAUACUUGAUCCCGCCCGGUUCAGUUUUGACAAAUUGGUUUAAUUUUGACGAAACCUUUGAGUAAUUGUGUAUCAUUUGUCCCAAAAGUUGCAAAUGACCAACAAUCUUCCUGAGGCGCUGCUUCUCAAGAAUAUUCCAAAUCUAAAGAAAAGUUGAUUAUUAGUUCUAUUUUUUUCUUUCUUUCGAAAGCCAACGCGACACCAUCGCCGAAAAUUCGAUUCGGUCGGAGGGGCAGCACGUUUUCGUCCGUUCGAUUGUCGCAGAAAGUCCCGUCUAAUCCUAUCAGACGAAAUACAACUCGAGCCCGGGGGAGAAGUUACAAAAAGGAUAAGCAUGUGAUCGUAACUGUUCCAAACACACCAAAUUCUGUCAACAUAAUGCCAAGCGCUUUUAGAUUUGAUCAAGCUUUGAAGAAACAACAUACUAUAUUUUAAUGUAUUGAAUAUUGUACAUUUCAUGUGUAUUUCUAUAUGAGAGCAUGUGUGAUCUUUAUUAUAUUCCUUCAAAUGAAUUAUAAUUAAAUUGAAUAGAAUUGAACACGUGACCACCAAGCGCCAUUUCAAAGAACCAGAGCGCCCAACUGCCAAAACAGAGUCUAAUGUGAACAACAUAUCUUUCACUCUAACAGAAAAUUGCACUCGAACGAGUCAGCGUGGCAAUUAAUGAGAGGCAAUGUUUGACAGCAGAGUCCGUUCAAAUGUUCUUUUACCAUACAUGACAAGAUUUCAGAAUUAUUACGUUUUUUCGUCCCCUUUUAUAUUUUCAAACUUGGAAGGGCACAAAAAUAACUUGAACCAGGGCGUCGAAGGAGCUCGGAAUGGCGCUGUGUCCACCAACAAUACAUUUCCAAUACAACGUCAAUACACUAUAUGGCGGCCCGGAGGACGACUGUUCGUG